GAUGAACGCUGGCGGCGUGCCUAAUACAUGCAAGUCGAGCGAACAGACGAGGAGCUUGCUCCUCUGACGUUAGCGGCGGACGGGUGAGUAACACGUGGAUAACCUACCUAUAAGACUGGGAUAACUUCGGGAAACCGGAGCUAAUACCGGAUAAUAUAUUGAACCGCAUGGUUCAAUAGUGAAAGACGGUUUUGCUGUCACUUAUAGAUGGAUCCGCGCCGCAUUAGCUAGUUGGUAAGGUAACGGCUUACCAAGGCGACGAUGCGUAGCCGACCUGAGAGGGUGAUCGGCCACACUGGAACUGAGACACGGUCCAGACUCCUACGGGAGGCAGCAGUAGGGAAUCUUCCGCAAUGGGCGAAAGCCUGACGGAGCAACGCCGCGGGAGUGAUGAAGGUCUUCGGAUCGUAAAACUCUGUUAUUAGGGAAGAACAAAUGUGUAAGUAACUAUGCACGUCUUGACGGUACCUAAUCAGAAAGCCACGGCGAACUACGU
rnacentral:rRNA from 1 species